UACGUAGGGUGCAAGCGUUAAUCGGAAUUACUGGGCGUAAAGCGUGCGCAGGCGGUUAUGUAAGACAGAUGUGAAAUGCCCGGGCUUAACCUGGGAACUGCAUUUGUGACUGCAUGGCUAGAGUUUGGCAGAGGGGGGUAGAAUUCCACGUGUAGCAGUGAAAUGCGUAGAUAUGUGGAGGAACACCGAUGGCGAAGGCGGGUCUCUGGGCCGAUACUGACGCUGAGGAGCGAAAGCGUGGGGAGCGAACAGG
rnacentral:rRNA from 1 species